AUUGAACGCUGGCGGUAUGCUUAAGACAUGCAAGUCGAACGGUAACAGACCUUCGGGUGCUGACGAGUGGCGGACGGGUGAGUAACACGUGGGAAUCUACCUUGUAGUGGGGGAUAAGCCAGGGAAACUUGGACUAAUACCGCAUACGCCCUAAGGGGGAAAGGAGCAAUUCGCUAUAAGAUGAGCCCGCGUCUGAUUAGCUAGUUGGUGAGGUAAAGGCUCACCAAGGCGACGAUCAGUAGCUGGUCUGAGAGGAUGACCAGCCACAUUGGGACUGAGACACGGCCCAGACUCCUACGGGAGGCAGCAGUCGGGAAUAUUGGACAAUGGGGGCAACCCUGAUCCAGCAAUACCGCGUGUGUGAAGAAGGCCUGCGGGUUGUAAAGCACUUUCAGCGAGGAGGAAAGGUCAGUAGCUAAUAUCUGCUGGCUGUGACGUUACUCGCAGAAGAAGCACCGGCUAACUACGUGCCAGCAGCCGCGGU
rnacentral:rRNA from 1 species